AGCGCUUAACUGCGCGGCGAGAACUAAACCUUACACACUGUGUUUUUUAUUAUAAAACCAUUGCUUUGGCUUGGCCGAAAGGUUGGGCCAGAGAAUUUGAAAAACUUCAAUUUUUAUUGAAUUGUUAUUUUAAUGUUUUGUCAAUUUGUUUGAUUAAUUUCAAAAUAAUCUUCAAAACUUUCAACAACGGAUCUCUUGGUUCUCGCAUCGAUGAAGAACGCAGCGAAAUGCGAUAAGUAAUAUGAAUUGCAGAUUUUCGUGAAUCAUCGAAUCUUUGAACGCACAUUGCGCCCUUUGGUAUUCCAAAGGGCAUGCCUGUUUGAGCGUCAUUUCUCUCUCAAACCUUUGGGUUUGGUAUUGAGUGAUACUCUUAGUCGGACUAGGCGUUUGCUUGAAAUGUAUCGGCAUGAGUGCGCUGGAUAGUACGUUCUGAUUAUUCAAUGUAUUAGGUUUAUCCAACUCGUUGAAGGAUUAGGUGUAAAUUUCUGGUAGCUUUUGCUCGGCCUUACAACAACAAACAAGUUUGACCUCAAAUCAGGUAAGAUUACCCGC
rnacentral:rRNA from 2 species